GUGAAUCAUCAAAUCUUUGAACGCAAAUUGCACUCUCCUCGGAGCGUAUGAGCGUUUGAGGGUCAGACUAUAAAAAAUCGACAUCGUUGCUGUUUCGCGGUGGCGGUCGUCGGUAACUGGGUCAUCUUAUAUCUUUUGGUUUUAAGCGACUUGAAAUUUUUUUUUUGGUUCUAUGAACGAUUCUAUGAUUUAUUUCUUUACACGUUUAUG
rnacentral:misc_RNA from 1 species